rnacentral:tRNA from 1 species
UCGCUUUAGGCAAACCGGCCAUCGGUCUUCGGAACCGAGGGUUGCAGGUUCAAGUCCUGCCGGGCGUG